CUUCCCACAGUGGACUGGCGUGUGGCCAUUUCUGUGUGGCACUUUCUUGAUUAUUGAGAGAUGUGGGAAGGCCCAGCCCAAUGUGGGUGCUGCCACCCUGGGAAACUGGGCCUAUAUUGUUUAAGAAAGCAGGUAGAGCAGGAGUCAGAAGAGCAAGCCAGUAAGCAGUGUUCGUCCAUGGCGUGUGCAAGAUUCUGUGAUGAGGGCCCUAUGGUGAGGGUUUCUAAGAAAUGGAGAAGAAUAUUGAUGACCUACUCAUUGCUACCUAAAGAAAACUCAAAGAAGAAAUGACUAAAUUGUAAAGAAAACUUAUGAGAAAAACUGGAAGUUAUAUUUCAAGUUGGAAAUGUGGAUUAAUGGAAGCACUGAAAUGUUUUAUUUCCAGAUGUAGGGAAGACAGGGAACUAGAACAUAAACACCUAUACUGUUUCCUUUCCUUCAACAGCAACAGUAAGAGUUGGCAAAUGUUCACCAGACUCUUCAGUCCAUGUUCCUUUGAUGAAGGAGCUCAGAUGUAAAUGAUGUAAUUCAAGUGUCAGCUGAGAAACAUAUGUGAAACCCAUUUGGAAGACACCUGAAGAAACAAAGGCCAGCUAUAGCUGUAAGAUUCUUGGGAGCUUCAUGCUUGGGUAAGACAAAAGUGGUACCCACCAGAUGGCUGGGAAAAGCCUACGACAACUAAUCCUGUAUAAAAAUAAAAACAAAGACUCCCAAAACUGUACAACUGUUAAGAAAAAAUUACAGAGCAAGGAGUGGUUGCCCCCCUAUGAGCUGUUGGCCAGAGAGAUCCUAGAGGCCCUCAAAUUAACCAAGGCUAUUGCCACUAAUGACUGUUGUACAUCAGGAAAGGUCGGUAAGGCCAUGUUGCUGAAGACCCUGCAUGAUGUGAGCGUGGGAGAAGGAGAGACGAAGCCAAGACUUAGCUGAAAACUCCAUGCCACUGGAUGGAUGGCUUUCAUAGUGCCAGAAGGCAGUAUGCGGAUGGUUGGGGGGAGAAGGAUCACCUAUGAUUCUGCUCAACGAUGGAUCCCAUGUGCUGUACUCUAUUGACAUGCCAAGCAAUGCCUGCUAGUGCAAUAAUGGCUUGACUAACAUACUUACAACUGACAAUUUCUAAUUGGUUAAGGCCCACUCCUGGGGGUGGAACACACAUCUGGUGCUGUAGACCAGGUCAACCCCCUGUGUCAGGGAAGGCCCCAGUGGAGAAGCUGCUGCAAGUAUUCUAUUCGAUAAAUAUGGUACACCUGCUGGGUAUCUUCUAGGCAUUUGUAUUUACACCCAUAUUUGUUUCGACGUGUCUACUUCCUUUCAUUUGUCUCUAUAGUAGGGGAUUCACCACUGAGAUGGAUCAACACCCACGUCUUGAGAACGAAAGAUGGGGAAGCCCAGGUGUCCAAUAUCUCACCACAUGAAAGAAGAAAAGAUCAUCCUGCAUCUGUCACCCCCUCCAAGACUCGGGGACCCUUUUGGAAGAUUGACAGAAAGAUUGUGAGAUCUGGAGGAAGGGGUGUAGUGUUGGGUAGGCGUGUCCUCCGAGACAGUCACUCCUCCCACCCACUCACUCAUGAGGAGCAGGGUCUAAGGACAGAAGCUGGCUGAGGACACUGGGAAGCGGUAAGUACUUGGGGAAGCACUGAGGACACUGGUAAGAAGGGGAGAGUCGUCAUCUUGGCGAACCAGGCACGCGGAUAGCUGGCAGGCUGCCGGCAGGUGGCAGAACUCAAAACUUAGCCAAGAUGUAAAAGCAGGGCCCACAGGCAAUCAUGCCUUUCUAAGUAACCCUUUCCGAGAUGCCAUAAACUAGACAAAAGCCCAAACAGAAUGCAUUGUGUAGAUUUCUUUCAGCCCGAGUUCAGACCGUGUGUUCCUGGGAUCCCAGAGAUCUCAGGGGAGAAUUUUGCUCAGCACAAACUUAUUUUGAAUCUGUUUCACGUUUAUUAAAUCAAAUGUAUUCCAGAUUUCUCUGGGGAAAAAUAUAGUUAAAAGGUUAAGUUAAAAGUUAAGAUUAACUUUUCAUGUUUGAUAAUCUUACGAGGUAACCCACCAGAGACACCCACUCGAACACAGAAAAUAGCCAAAAGAAUGUCUCUGUGGCCAGCUGGUGACUACACUGGGCAUUCGGGUCCCAAGUACAGCCCCGAGCCUUUCUCAGGGUAGGCUUUAAUUCAGAGAAAUCAAAGCCCCCCCUCCCAACAGUUUCUCAUUGCUCAGGGGUGGAAAAGUUCCUAACAGUUUCUUCCUGCAGGUGCCAGUCAAGCAAAAACUACAAAAACGUUUUAGAAAUGCAGUUAGCCAGAGCGACGAGGCACACGCCGACCUUUCUCAAACCCACAUCCUGGUAGCUGGGCUUAAUUUUUAUAUGCACACGCUUUGAGACAAUUCCCUCUUGUUUGUAGUUACUGGGAUUAACUAGGGUUGUAAUAUGGCACAGUUUUAGUCUGUCCUGAGAUGCCUCGUGACAUUCCCGACUGGUUCUUUAGCCUGUGGCUGUUGCCGCUGUGGCCAAAGGAGGAAGCAGCGCAGGCACUGCUUCUUUUUGUGUGUGCAGUGCUCCGCCAUGGGCUGGUCCGGUGACCACGCUUCAGGCUGCUUGGGCCAUUCAGACAUUCAGGAUCCCCUCACUGGGCCAUCCCACCUCAAAAGUCAGCCACGUGAGUUCACAGCAUGUCAGGGUUUUCUGGGUGAGAAACGGAUGCCACAGUCAUUCUCACCACGAAACCAUCCCUAGAAUCCUUAAGUAUGCACUUCAGGGGAGUCUUAGAAGAGCUCAGCCCCCCUCCCAUAUUGACAUAGGUGACAGAUUGACAGAAACAGACAACAGAGACCAGCACAAAUAAAACAAAUAUGUGGUGGCCACCAAGCACUCAUACACCAGUUUGUAAAAUUUUAAUUACAAAGGGCCGGUGACUUCUCACACGGUUCUCUGGACACAAGAUUAGUGGCCAUACCCAGCUCUCCUGAGUGCCCCCUACUGAGACUGCCUCAGCCUGACUUACCUCCAGAGGUUUUCGAAACCAGAUGACGUUCUAUGAUCUUCAAAAAAAAUCUUUGGGGUCGGGAUAUCGGGCAGUGGGGCCCAGAGGUCCCGGGGCUCUGGAAUAUCUGUCCUAGGAGGUGCCUCUCCUAGGAGUCUGUCGGUCCAAACCUACUCUCCUUCUGCCCCGAGUAUCUGAGGUCUAAAUCUCUAGGGAUCUCGCGGGGGGCCUCCAAAUAAGUAACCCACUAGAGAAGACUACUCAGACACAGAAAAGAGCCAAAAGAAUGUGUUUAGAGCGGGGCAGCAACUACACUAGGCAUUCAGGUCCCAAGUACACCCGUGAGCCUUCCU